UACGUAGGGGGCGAGCGUUGUCCGGAUUUAUUGGGCGUAAAGAGCGUGUAGGCGGCCAGGUAGGUCUGCUGUGAAAACUCGAGGCUCAACCUCGAGACGUCGGCGGAAACCAUCUGGCUAGAGUCCGGAAGAGGAGAGUGGAAUUCCUGGUGUAGCGGUGAAAUGCGCAGAUAUCAGGAGGAACACCGGUGGCGAAGGCGGGUCUCUGGGCCACUACUGACGCUGAGAAGCGAAAGCAUGGGGAGCGAACAGG
rnacentral:rRNA from 1 species